UUCCGCCCGGUAGGGUGCCGAUACGCUCAGCAAGGCACGUGUGCUCUGAAAGAUCGUCUUUUAUCGUCCAAUAACGCCAGCAGUGUGGACGGCGUCUUUUGCAGUGCUGGGACGCGCGUCCAUGUAGUUUACCGUAGUGGCCCUUUUCCCUCCUCCCCUGUCAGAAUUCGAGGCAAUGAUGUCGCCGAAGAUCAAGGCUGUGUUCGUGGACAUGGAUGGCACUCUGUUCGACUCUGGCCACUUCAUUAGCCCCCGCACCGCGAAGGUGAUACAUGCACUCGAGGAGCGAGGUGUCGCCUUCGUUGUAGCCACAGGACGUCCGUUUCCGGACGUCUUUGGCAACCUUGCCAAGGCGGGGCUAAGACCAGAUUUCAUCAUUACCAGUAAUGGGGCUCGCGUCCAUGACGCCCAGCACAACAUUGUCUUUGCGUGCGACAUGGACGCUGAGAGCGUCUGCCGGCUCUUUCAGCUGUCGCCGCACCUCAGGGAGGAUGGAGUGGUUGACCCGGCAGUGGAGGCGCGACGCAUCUUGUUCAACGUCAACUGCGGGGAUCGCUGGCUCACCAACGAGUGCAUUCCAGAGGUCCGUGCAGCCUUCCACCCCUCAUUCAUCUACGAGCGGGUCGAUCCGAUGGUGCACACCGCCAAGACGCUCAAGGGUACGCACAGCAUGUGGAUCCGCGGCGCGCACGCGGAUCUGGUGUGCGUGCAGAAGUACGUGGACCGCGAGCUUUCCCACGAGAUCGGCUGCACCUUCGCACUACCCCACAUCCUCGACUGCUUCCGCAAGGGUGUCGACAAGGGUGCCGCCAUGGAGAAGGUGUGCAAACACCUCCGCAUCGAUCUCAGAGAGACCAUCGCGUUCGGCGAUGGCAUGAAUGAUAUCCGCAUGCUCACUGCGGCAGGGCAGGGCUUUGUUAUGGCGAACGCGGCAGAGAUGGUGAAGCAAGCCGCACCUGAGCUCCCGGUUAUUCAGUCGAACAACGAGGAAGGCGUUGCGCGGAAGCUCGAGGAGCUGCUGGCGGCCGACGCCUUUGUCGGUUAAUGGCAAAACGGCGAGGCAAUGGCGUCUCCGUCGACUUCAGGCAAGUGGAGAAACCUGCCCCGCGUGACGGUGUGCGCAAGUAACAAAGCCACGUCACCUUCGGGCUUCAAGAAGGUUACAAACGACCUUGGCGGCCCCACUUGUCCCAGCUUCCCUGUUCUUUCUCUACACAUCCGUUCAUGAGCGGUUGUGUUGUUCGACCUGCUGAGCCAUCGGAGCUCCAUCCCUCCCUCCCCCCCCCACCAGCCAAUGCGCUAAUGAGGGUGCGCAUCGCGAACUCCUGUUUCUUUUUCUUUCGGUUCUUAUUGAUUGUGUUUUGCGCUAACGAGGGCUCCCCUCGUUGCAUCCACUCGUGGAUCGGCGCACGAUCGAGUGAGAAAGAGGGAGAGAGCAGGGGAGCGGAGGCCUGACCUCUCAAGGUCUCGCGGUGCAACAAUCUCAUCUUGCUUGGACCGCCCUCGAAAACAGCAGCCCGCUUUUUCAGUCCUCGCAUAAAUGAACAGGGAGGAAAUAUCAGUAGCGCAACG
rnacentral:misc_RNA from 1 species